GCCAAGGCUCAGUGGUAGAGCAUCUGCAUUGUAUGCAGAACGUCCUGAGUUCAAUCCUCCUGCCUGAAACC